rnacentral:rRNA from 1 species
ACAUCCAGAGAAUUUAGCAGAGAUGCUUUAGUGCCUUCGGGAACUCUGAGACAGGUGCUGCAUGGCUGUCGUCAGCUCGUGUUGUGAAAUGUUGGGUUAAGUCCCGNAACGAGCGCAACCCUUAUCCUUUGUUGCCAGCACGUAAUGGUGGGAACUCAAAGGAGACUGCCGGUGAUAAACCGGAGGAAGGUGGGGAUGACGUCAAGUCAUCAUGGCCCUUACGAGUAGGGCUACACACGUGCUACAAUGGCGUAUACAAAGAGAAGCGACCUCGCGAGAGCAAGCGGACCUCAUAAAGUGCGUCGCAGUCCGGAUUGGAGUCUGCAACUCGACUCCAUGAAGUCGGAAUCGCUAGUAAUCGUAAAUCAGAAUGUUACGGUGAAUACGUUCCCGGGCCUUGUACACACCGCCCGUCACACCAUGGGAGUGGGUUGCAAAAGAAGUAGAUAGCUUAACCUUCGGGAGGGCGUUUACCACUUUGUGAUUCAUGACUGGGGUGAAGUCGUAACAAGGUAGGCGUAGUGCU